rnacentral:rRNA from 1 species
CACGUAGGGUCCGAGCGUUGUCCGGAAUUACUGGGCGUAAAGCGCGCGCAGGCGGUCCAUUCAGUCGCUGGUGAAAGCCCCACGCUCAACGUGGGAAGGUCCGGCGAGACGGGUGGACUGGAGGCAGGGAGAGGUCGGUGGAAUUCCGGGUGUAGUGGUGAAAUGCGUAGAGAGUCCGGAGGAACACCAGAGGCGAAGGCGGCCGACUGGACCUGACCUGACGCUGAGGCGCGAAGGCGUGGGGAGCGAACGGG